rnacentral:rRNA from 1 species
UACGGGGGGGGCAAGCGUUGUUCGGAAUUACUGGGCGUAAAGGGCGCGUAGGCGGCUCGCUAAGUCGGAUGUGAAAACUCUGGGCUCAACCCAGAGCCUGCAUUCGAAACUGACGAGCUCGAGUUCUGGAGGGGAAAGCGGAAUUCCUGGUGUAGCGGUGAAAUGACGUAGAUAUCAGGAGGAACACCUGCAGUGUAGACGGCUUUCUGGACCAUAACUGACGCUGAGAUACGAAAGCGUGGGUAGCAAACAGG